GUGCAGCGCGGCCCCUAAGAGGUUACCGGUCCACGCGCUCAGCCCGCGGCCCGCACCGGGCGGGUGGGCACCGCACGAACAGCAGCGCCGCGAAAACGGCCGAUUUAGCACAAAACAGAAUGCGGGGAACGCGGGGGCGGCAUAAGAGACAGGGUUUAAGCUGACGACCGGACCCUCCGCAGGAGGACGCCCGCGACUCCGCGUGGGGCUCCGGAGCCACCCGAGCUCGGGGCAAGAAAACCCAGGCUGAAAGAGGACACACUAGCAAGCAGCAGAGAAGGGACAGCGUCUGACUCCAUAGACUACAAGCCACCCGCAUGGCCCACUGCUGCUCCCAACGCUCCCUAGUGGAAACCUUGGAGCAUUGGACCAGUCUGGGAAGAGGAAGAGCCUUGGAGGGAGAGAGCAAGCUGGGGUGCGCAGCUGGGGAGAGGGACAGAGAUCCAGUCCAGGAAGACAGAAGAACUCUGGAGAUGAAUGGGGGUGACGGUUACAAAAGAUUGUACAUAAUGCCGCUGAACUGUGCACUGAAAAUGGUUAAAAUGGCAAUUCUGUACAUAUUUUAUCACAAUAAAAGAUAAGAAUGGUAGAAAAUA